GUUCAAGGGCAGUGUUGAAGUGUUACCGGUGUAGGGGACCGCACAAAAAGCGGGACUGUCCGAAGAAGGCAGUGUUCUUGGCCAAGGGAGAAGAGCCGGGAAAAACUUCUGCACCACUGGAGCCAGCAAGUGAGGGAAGCUUGCCGUGUUGUUCAUUUGGGGCCAUGAGUUUGGUCGGACCGAGUGAAGCUCCUAGUGGGGGUGCAGUGGAUAUUUGUGGGACUCGAGAGCAGUCCGAAUUGCCGAAGAAGCUGCCACCCGAGGGAGAGGUGGGCUGUGUUAGUGAGCCAGCAGCCGGAUGUCCAAGUGAAGUGGAAUUGCCGAAGCAAGAGAGGCCGAGGCAACCUCGCUCGAGGAAGAGGAGGAAUAGGUGCAAAGCCAAGAGAGUGGCGCAGUCACCUAGCCACACGGACGAGGAAGGUGUUGGAACACAGCAGAAGGCCGAUGGCAAUGGGUCGCAUGGACAGGAGAGAGGUCCUAGGCGACGAGGGAGAUUCCGAGGGAAUUUCGACCGGGGAGGUCAUUUAUGGCAAUUGACCGAACGGGUGUGUCAGUUGGCCAGUUUGGUAGCAAACGGGCUGAAAUUGCUGGAUAAGAAGCAAGCCGAUCGGAGAGAGAAGAUUGGUAAGCCGGGAAUUGCUACGGGCUCAAGGGGCAAGAAAGGAGGUUCACAGCCGCAGUGGAGGCGGUGUGAAGCAUCAGUGAAGAGCCGACAACUCGAGGCAACGGGGGCGUUGCCGAGU
rnacentral:misc_RNA from 1 species